UACGUAGGUGGCAAGCGUUAUCCGGAUUUAUUGAGCGUAAAGAGAACGCAGGCGGUCUUUUAAGUCUGAUGUGAAAGCCUUCGGCUUAACCGGAGUAGUGCAUUGGAAACAGGGAGACUUGAGUGCAGAAGAGGAGAGUGGAACUCCAUGUGUAGCGGUGAAAUGCGUAGAUAUAUGGAAGAACACCAGUGGCGAAAGCGGCUCUCUGGUCUGUAACUGACGCUGAGGUUCGAAAGCGUGGGUAGCAAACAGG
rnacentral:rRNA from 1 species